rnacentral:rRNA from 1 species
AAGAACCUUACCUAGGCUUGACAGUUAGAGAAAACUGGCAGAGAUGUCAGGUCCGCAAGGGCUCUAAAACAGGUGGUGCAUGGCUGUCGUCAGCUCGUGUCGUGAGAUGUUGGGUUAAGUCCCGCAACGAGCGCAACCCUCGUCGUAUGUUGCCAGCAUUAAGUUGGGGACUCAUACGAGACUGCCGGGGUCAACUCGGAGGAAGGUGGGGAUGACGUCAAGUCAUCAUGCCCCUUAUGCCUAGGGCUGCACGCAUGCUACAAUGGCUGGUACAAAGGGCUGCGAUACCGCAAGGUGGAGCGAAUCCCAUAAAGCCAGUCUCAGUUCGGAUUGGGGUCUGCAACUCGACCCCAUGAAGUCGGAGUCGCUAGUAAUCGCA